rnacentral:rRNA from 1 species
UACGAGGGGUGCAAGCGUUAUUCGGAUUUAUUGGGCGUAAAGGGUGCGUAGGUGGCAUGCUAAGUCUGUUGUUAAAUUUUCCGGCCUAACCGGAAGCCUGCAAUGGAAACUGGUGUGCUUGAGGAUGGAAGAGGGAAGUGGAAUUCUCGGAGUAGCGGUAAAAUGCGUGGAUCUCGAGAGGAACACCGAUGGCGAAGGCAGCUUCCUGGUCCAUAUCUGACACUGAGGCACGAAAGCGUGGGGAGCAAACAGG